rnacentral:rRNA from 1 species
ACAUGCAAGUCGAGCGGACAGAUGGGAGCUUGCUCCCUGAUGUUAGCGGCGGACGGGUGAGUAACACGUGGGUAACCUGCCUGUAAGACUGGGAUAACUCCGGGAAACCGGGGCUAAUACCGGAUGGUUGUUUGAACCGCAUGGUUCAGACAUAAAAGGUGGCUUCGGCUACCACUUACAGAUGGACCCGCGGCGCAUUAGCUAGUUGGUGAGGUAACGGCUCACCAAGGCGACGAUGCGUAGCCGACCUGAGAGGGUGAUCGGCCACACUGGGACUGAGACACGGCCCAGACUCCUACGGGAGGCAGCAGUAGGGAAUCUUCCGCAAUGGACGAAAGUCUGACGGAGCAACGCCGCGUGAGUGAUGAAGGUUUUCGGAUCGUAAAGCUCUGUUGUUAGGGAAGAACAAGUGCCGUUCAAAUAGGGCGGCACCUUGACGGUACCUAACCAGAAAGCCACGGCUAACUACGUGCCAGCAGCCGCGGUAAUACGUAGGUGGCAAGCGUUGUCCGGAAUUAUUGGGCGUAAAGGGCUCGCAGGCGGUUUCUUAAGUCUGAUGUGAAAGCCCCCGGCUCAACCGGGGAGGGUCAUUGGAAACUGGGGAACUUGAGUGCAGAAGAGGAGAGUGGAAUUCCACGUGUAGCGGUGAAAUGCGUAGAGAUGUGGAGGAACACCAGUGGCGAAGGCGACUCUCUGGUCUGUAACUGACGCUGAGGAGCGAAAGCGUGGGGAGCGAACAGGAUUAGAUACCCUGGUAGUCCACGCCGUAAACGAUGAGUGCUAAGUGUUAGGGGGUUUCCGCCUCUUAGUGCUGCAGCUAACGCAUUAAGCACUCCGCCUGGGGAGUACGGUCGCAAGACUGAAACUCAAAGGAAUUGACGGGGGCCCGCACAAGCGGUGGAGCAUGUGGUUUAAUUCGAAGCAACGCGAAGAACCUUACCAGGUCUUGACAUCCUCUGACAAUCCUAGAGAUAGGACGUCCCCUUCGGGGGCAGAGUGACAGGUGGUGCUGGUUGUCGUCAGCUCGUGUCGUAAGAUGUUGGUUUAAGUCCCGCAACGAGCGCAACCCUUGAUCUUAGUUGCCAUCAUUCAGUUGGCACUCUAAGGGGACUGCCGGUUAACAAAACGGAAGGAAGGGGGGGAUUACGUCAAAUUAUCAUGGCCCCUUUAUGACCGGGGCUACCCACGGUUCUACAAUGGGGAGAAACCAAGGGCAGCCAAAACCCGGGAAGUUAACGCCAUCCCCCAAAAUCUGGUCC